rnacentral:rRNA from 1 species
AUUGAACGCUGGCGGCAGGCCUAACACAUGCAAGUCGAGCGAGCGGCGGACGGGGGAGUAAUGUCUGGGAAACUGCCUGAUGGCGGGGGAUAACUACUGGAAACGGUCGCUAAUACCGCAUACCAUCAGAUGUGCCCCGAUGGGAUUAGCUAGUAGGUGGGGUAACGGCUCACCUAGGCGACGAUCCCUAGCUGGUCUGAGAGGAUGACCAGCCAAACGGGAACUGAGACAAGGUCCAGAAUCCUACGGGAGGCAGCAGUGGGGAAUAUUGCACAAUGGGCGAAAGCCUGAUCCAGCCAUGCCGCGUGGGUGAAGAAGGUCUUCGGAUUGUAAAGCACUGUAAGUUGGGAGGCGUUACCAACAGAAUAAGCACCGGCUAACUUCGUGCCAGCCGCCGCGGUAAUUC